rnacentral:lncRNA from 1 species
AGACGUGCGGCGCAGAACUCGUUGAGGGUGAGAUCGGAAUAGGAGGGGGAAGAGAACGAAGAAGAGGAGGAGAGGGGAGAAAGGAGGAGGGGGAUAAGAGAGAGGAGUUUGGGGAGGGACGUUUUGGAAAGGGCCAUGAUUGGUGGGGGGAAGGGGAGGGCGCUACGGAGAAGGAGAAGGCGGAAGAAAAAAAAAAGAGAGAGAAAGAAAAGGAAUAAGGGUAUUUUCGUCCGAUGAUAAAAAAUUCGGUCCGAAUAUGCAAAAUUGGAAAAGUGA